rnacentral:rRNA from 1 species
CGUGGCGAACGGGUGCGUAACACGUGGACAACCUCCCUUCAGGUGGGGAAUAACCCAGCGAAAGUUGGGCUAAUACCGCAUAACAUGACCUGGGCACAUGCUUGGGUCCUCAAAGGAGCAAUUCGCCAGAAGAGGGGUCCGCGGCCGAUUAGCUUGUUGGCGAGGUAAUGGCUCACCAAGGCAAUGAUCGGUAGCCGGUCUGAGAGGAUGAUCGGCCACACUGGAACUGAGACACGGUCCAGACUCCUACGGGAGGCAGCAGUGGGGAAUCUUGCGCAAUGGGCGAAAGCCUGACGCAGCGACGCCGCGUGGGGGAUGAAGCUUCUCGGAGUGUAAACCCCUUUCGACCCGGACGAAUGACCCGCAAGGGUUUGACGGUACGGGUAUAAGAAGCCCCGGCUAACUACGUGCCAGCAGCCGCGGUAAUACGUAGGGGGCCAGCGUUGCUCGGAAUUACUGGGCGUAAAGGGUUCGUAGGCGGUGCGGCAAGUUGGGAGUGAAAUCUCUGGGCUUAACCCAGAGGCUGCUUUCAAAACUGCCGUGCUCGAGUGCGGGAGAGGCCAGUGGAAUUGCAGGUGUAGCGGUGAAAUGCGUAGAUAUCUGCAGGAACACCCGUGGCGAAGGCGGCUGGCUGGACCGCAACUGACGCUGAGGAACGAAAGCUAGGGGAGCAAACAGGAUUAGAUACCCUGGUAGUCCUAGCCCUAAACCAUCAGAACUUGGGGUGGCUCGCGUAGGCGGGUCGUCCCGUAGCUAACGCGUUAAGUUCUGCGCCUGGGGAGUACGGUCGCAAGACUGAAACUCAAAGGAAUUGACGGGGGCCCGCACAAGCGGUGGAACAUGUGGUUCAAUUCGA